rnacentral:lncRNA from 1 species
CUCUGACUUAUCCCCUUCGUGAAGCCACCAUUCGUGGUGCCGAUCUCAUCCACCUCAUGCCCAGAAAUUUCCGGAAUUCUUCCACGUACUCAAUUUCUGGAACCUCCCGUACGUCCUCAUCACCUGCACAAGCCGACGCUUGUUCUCAUCCUCUAGCUGCCGCCCUUGCUUUCCAUGGCGGCGCUUCCUGCUGCUGGCAACAGCACCGACCGCCCUCCCUGCUCGCCGUUCCUAUUCUCUGGCGCUCGCCCCUGCCCCAGCCAUGGACGCCGUCGACCUCGACUUCCUCUGGCCGCGGCAUCCGUCCUGCUCCCCGCUCCAUCCAUUUCUCCCUCCUAUGGCGCACUCCUUCCCCUAGUCGCCCAUGGCCGCGCCCUCUGCUCCUCCCCCUGGCGUCUCCUUCUCUGGUUACAGCUGUGGAACAGCAGCUGCCCUUGUCCCUCCCUGGCUCUAGCUCUCCAAGCCGAUGCUGCUCGCUACCCCUCUCCAAGCUGACGCCCCAACCAUGGCACUCUCUGCUCCUCCAAGCCGGCGACCCCUCCUCUCUGGUUCAGCGCAGGGGACUCCCUCCAUGGCUGGCGCCCCUGAUGGCCGGACCUCCACCUCGCCAUUGCCGGUUGCUCCUGCACUAGAUUAUCUUCAAGCCCGGUCACGGUAUAGCAGCAACAACCAUGAAACCCCAUCGUGUCGCGCCCUCGACGUGUUCGACAGAAUAUCGCAGCAAGCAGUGCCCUCCCCUUUUCUGCAGCAAGUGGAUGCCCCCAGCCCCUCCCUUGUUCCCAUGGCCGACCACCUCUGCUGCUCCCAUGGUGAUUUCUAAAUUCCUUUGUUGUUUUACUAGUUCUUAUUAAUACCCUGCUGAUGUGAGGUUUUAUGUGUGUUGAUGUGUGCGAUAUGGAGUAAAAUCCUUGGAGAAUUAGGUGGAGAAGAAGGUUAAGUUCAACGCUCCUUAGGUGUUCGAUGGUAUGCUCGAACUGGUGGCCGUCUUCGUUCUUGUUGAAAUCGAGUCGGAGCAUGAUGUGGUACGCUAGUUGAAAAUCGUGCGAAGCGAAGGGUGUGGAUCAAAACAACUCACAAGACGAUGUCGGCCGAUGAUCCUGAAGCUAGAUGAACUAAGCGGGUGUCAGAAUAAAAGUUGAUCGUCAAGUGGCCAUCAUCUAACAACACUAACAUAGUGUUAUCCCAGGUUAUAAUUUUGUUCUGUUGUGGAUGGUGCUAAGUGCCGGUGGGCUCGGCCUUCUUAUAUAAGUAUAUCCCAUCUUUGGCUUCUUUAUUGAGGAUUGUCACUUAAGCUAGCAUGUAUUUUAAACCCUAUAAGUAUUUUAUAGAUUUUAAAUUGUAAUUCUUUCGAAUCACUUUCUUUUGUAAUCACUCCGAUAAUUGUAUAAUGUAAACUUAUUGUAACAUGUAAUCAUUUUGCAAUAAAGAAUUUAUUUCCGCU